CUAGGCUUUCUUAUGAAACGAGACAUAUGCUUAAAUAUCGAGAUGAUACGAUAUUGAUAAGUGACAAUUAUAUCAUUAAUAUGUCGAAUUGACUUUGUAGUAUUUGUGAGGAAUUGAGAAAUAAUUGAAAUAGAAUUUUUUUUUUUAAUAAUAAUUAUUAGUAUAUUUUAAUUUAUGGAUGCCUUUCUUGCGUACUUUACUCUUGAAUCUCUAAUUCAUUGAACAAUGCUAUCAUUUUCUAUUGAAAGAAUUGCCCUAUAACCUACUUUCUCCACAUUUCAUUACAUAAAAACAUACUUUCUGCUAUCUCUAUACUUCUACCACUUGAA
rnacentral:lncRNA from 1 species